rnacentral:tRNA from 1 species
GAGGGUAUAGCUCAGUGGUAGAGUGCAUGCCUAGCAUGCACAAGGUCCCGGGCUCAAUCCCCAGCAUCUCCA